GCCCCAGUAGUCUAGUCCGGCCAAGGAUUCGGCCCUUUCGAGGCUGAGACCCGGGUUCAAAUCCCGGCUGGGGCA
rnacentral:tRNA from 2 species